AUGGAGGUUCCCAGGCGAGGGGUCAAAUCAGAGCUACAGCUGCCAGCCUACACCACAGCCACAGCAACUCAGGAUCCCAACCGUGUCUGCGACCUACACCACAGCUCACAGCAACACCAGAUCCUUAACCCACUAAGGCCUGGAAUCAAACCUACAUCCUCAUGUAUACUAGUCAGGUUCAAUAGCACUGAGCCACAAUGGGAACUCCCAAAGGGAGCUUUCCAAAACACCAUUCCAGUCAUGUCACCACCACCACCCCAGCCUCGCGUUGUACUUGGAAUCGUAUCCAAACUCCUAAAUAGUGAAGAUCCAGCCCCACGUGGUCUGAACUCUCUCUCACUCCGAUCAUCUCUUACCACGUUCUUCCAGAUUCCGAAAUCCAGCUGCAUUGUCCAUUCUGCAUUUUCAACACACUGGUCCUGCUCAACCCCAGGGCCUUUGCACUUGCAGUUUCAUGUGCUUGUCUUGCUUUCCCCUGAAGUUCUCACAGCCCAUUCCUGGUCAUACAGAUCUCAGCUGAACCGUCACCUCUGUGGGGAAGCUGUCCUUGACCCCCCAGUUGAAAAGGGUUUUCCAUCACAUCACCCAUUUUUAAUGCUUUACAGUGCACCUGUCACACCUGACAGUUUUCUUAUUCGUUUUUCCUUUGUGUGCUAUCUGUGUCUCUCACCAGAGUGGGAGCCCCAGGAGCCGGAGAUCCCAUCAGUCAGGUGGACAGCUAUGCCCCCAGCAUCUGGCCCAGCACCUGGCUCAGCCCUGGUGCUCGGUCUCCGUGACAUGAGCGACUGCAUCGUCUCAUCACCCACCCAACCGCCCCCAAAACCUUGGCCUUUCCCACAUGGUCAAGAUCAGUGUCCCAGGUGUGUCAGAGCUCAAGGGCAGGGUGAAGGGGAGUGGCCGUCACUGUGGCUGCCUUUCCCCCACCCCCAGCCUCAGCCACCCCUCCCAGCGCCCCCACUGCCUGGGCUGCGCUGGCCACACCUGCCCUGGCCUGGGGGUGAAACGCCAAGCAGACAGCCUUGUGCUCUGGAGCACCAGCUCCAUAGGGAGGCAGCCAGGGCUCAAAGCCUGGCUCCCACUUAUGGCCAGGGGACCUGA
rnacentral:lncRNA from 1 species